AUUGAACGCUGGCGGCAGGCCUAACACAUGCAAGUCGAACGAGUGGCGGACGGGUGAGUAAUGUCUGGGAAACUGCCCGAUGGAGGGGGCUAACUACUGGAAACGGUAGCUAAUACCGCAUACCAUCGGAUGUGCACAGAUGGGAGUAGCUUGUAGGUGAGGUAACGGCUCACCUAGGCGACGAUCCCUAGCUGGUCUGAGAGGAUGACCAGGCACACUGGAACUGAGACACGGUCCAGACGCAUACGGGAGGCAGCAGUGGGGAAUAGUGCACAAUUGGCGCAAGCCUGAUGCAGCCAUGCCGCGUGGAUGAAGAAGGCCUUCGGGUAGUAAAGGACUUCCAGCGGGGAGGCGUUACCCGAAGAAGAAGCACCGGCUAACUCCGUGCCAGCAGCCGCGGUAAUUC
rnacentral:rRNA from 1 species